ensembl:lncRNA
GGACGGGUUCCUCAAAACUGUUGUGUUUCCACACCACUUAGCAUGAACAUAUGCUGACCUUUAUGCUCUGCAUCUAUCGAUUGAGUAAGUUACAUUCAUAUAUGUUACCCGUUUACAUGUCAUGGCAAAACAUUCAACCUCAGUGACACAAGGGUACAUGUGAUGAUACAUUGUCAACAUUGCAUGUCUGUCAGACUCUAGAGUGUCUGGUGGAAUGGAGAAAGAGGCACCACUGUACAGUUUUCUAGUGAAAGUCGUUCACUGCUUUACAUAAAGCAUAUCAGCUGUUUCAAAGUCCCAACCAAUUGUCUUCCUAAAAUACUGGUCCUUCCGUAUAACAAUAACCUCGUAUGUGAUUGGAGGACCCUCAGACUCCUCGUCCAAUCACGUGUGAGGUCAUAGGCAUGACUCAGACAGCAGUACUUGCAAGACGAGCAUACAAACAGACAUAUUCAGAAGAACUGUAUCUCCAGUUCCUUUGUUUGGUUUUUGCUGCUUCGUAAAUAAUGGCGGGACGACGUCUCGCCUUCAACUCGCCUUCAACUCCUCUCCGCGGUCACCAACUUUCGGCCAGUCCGCAGACAGACGAGAAGAAGCUGCUGAAAGCUCUCAGUGGAUCGUCUCGUCAACUCCAACAACAAACUGCUGAUAUCAGCGAGCGGUUCGCUCCACUGGAGCGUUCGGGACUCUGCGGGUUUCUGUCCAUGGAGGAGAGGAACCGACUCAAAGAAGAGGAGACGGGAGCACGAUCCCAAGAUAGGGGUAAGAAUACGUUCGAUGACUGCAAGCUAAGCUAACAGCUAAGAGUAGCCUAGUAGCCUUACAAGUGAGCAGAAACAGCUUUAUUAAAGUGUGUUUUCUUUGCCGUGUCGUUUACAGGAAGCGAUGCGCCGUCUUCACAACGCCGAGACGAAUUACAGGCGCUACGAACCGGAGCAAGGGUCAGAUUUACAGAAUAUGCUUUCAUUCUGCGCUAUAAGGGAAUAUAUACGUAUAGAUACCAAUCAUAACUGUACAUUUUGUUUUCACAGACUAAUCUCGCCUCAUAAUGAGGCGGUGACCUCGUAUUUGCUCCGGGAAAAGUCCAGAUUUAGACGACGUCAUUGUGUCCGCCUGUAAGACGGAUUGUGAGACGAUAUGCAGGAGCUUCAGGUUCAGCCGGAACACUCAUUGCGGGCGGAAGCUGCGAAGGAUUCAGCGCGGAGUCGAGCGAGAAGAAAGAGGGUCAGAGUUUAUUUGCUGACUUGUUUCAGCUGCUGGAAUCGAGACAAAGUGUGCUGGCUGAUGACGAGGUGGAACUCUGGAAAUCCACCACCGUGGAGCUCACGUCGGAUGGAGGGGACGGCGUUGUUGGCGGGGUCUCGGGUGGAUCGUACGGUCGCCACACACACACGAGCCGCAUGCACAACAGACCUGCAUUGGAAAACUCGCCGCCAGUGACGGUCUACGACCCCGAGGAGGCAAAAGUUUACUGAGCUGUAGUUUUUAAACCGCCGUUACCCAAGUGUGGGCAGAUCCUCACUUUGUAUGUAGUUGUUGUUUGUGUGUUGUUAAUAAAGCUCUUUCUUUGCAUAAACAUGUGGCAAAUGUUCAUUUUCUCUAUAAAUUCAUUGAUGUCCUGGUUGGUAUCCUAAUAAUAGUGUAGUAGCCUACAUAGGAUGACCAUGAAAUGAAUAUACAG